UACAGAGGGUGCGAGCGUUGUUCGGAAUUACUGGGCGUAAAGCGCGUGUAGGCGGUCUAGCAAGUCAGAUGUGAAAUCCCGGGGCCUAACUCCGGACGUGCAUUUGAAACUACUAGGCUAGAGUGAUGUAGAGGAUGGCGGAAUACCCAGUGUGGAGGUGAAAUUCGUAGAGAUUGGGUAGAACACCGGUGGCGAAGGCGGUUCUCUGGGACGGUACUGACGCUGAGACGCGAAAGCGUGGGGAGCGAACAGG
rnacentral:rRNA from 1 species